rnacentral:lncRNA from 1 species
CUGUUCCAAGAGCUUUUCCAGCAAGCAGAGCUCCAUGCUUUGGGCUGUAAAUCAUGUUUAGUAAAUCAUUUGCUUACCAGGUGUGACUCUGAACAGAUUUAGAUGCCAUGGAAGUAGCCUUUCUGUGAAUUAGAAGAACUUACAUUGUUGUUGUUGUUUUGUUAAAUAACUUUCAGCAAAAUGUUGAUGUCAGCCUGUGCUCUUUGGCAACCUUCCGUCACUGUCCUUACCUCUUUUCCUUUUAAUUAACAAUAAUUUGACCCCAGAUUUGUGUGGUCCUAGUUCUGGGCAAACCCCAGUUUCCAAGCCAGCAUGGGGGCAUCCCUAAUUCUCCCUCUACUUCUAAAAAACAUUUCUGUGUAUUAGUAGCAGGGAAAAGUCCAUGUAGAAUUGGGUAGGCUGGGGAUUUAAUGCGUGGAAAACGUGGUUUGCUUUUAGACAACUUUUAGGAAAUAACUUACUGUCUUCUAAUAAUGUUCAGUCACUUGCUUUGGUAAGUAAUUACCACGCCAUUUCUGUUCUGCCCUCGUCUUCGGGUAAUAAUCUAGCUUAGAGAGAGUACUAACAAGUCGCUGUUAGAUUUAAUUUGUUCCCUAACCCAUCUUGUGAAUAUCAAUGCUAACAGUGUCUUGUGUUUUUUUUUUUUCUUGUGUGUUUUUCUUUUCUUUUUUCUUUAAAUCAAUGUGCUUUUUUCCUAUGUGAAUAAUUCUAUGUCUAGAAACAGCCAUGGAGUGAUUUUGCUGUUCUGAAUGGGGGAAAGAUUAAUAGUGACAUUUGGAAGGAUUUGCAUGCAGCCACAGUUAACCCAGACCCCAGUUUAAAAGAGUUUGAAGGAGCAACACUACGCUAUGCAUCUUUGAAACUCAGAAACGCCCCUCAUGCUGAUGACGAUGAUUCUUGUAGUAUCAACAGUGACCCAGAAACCAAGGUUUGUCAGAUACAGGCUUUCAGCAACUAGUUAUAGUCUUAAAUCAAAGUAAUAGCAUUGGAUAAUGGCCCAUUAUUUUACAAACCACCAAUCCUGAAC